UUCUUUUCUUUUUUUCUUUCUUUUCAUGCGUUCUUGUUUUUCGAUACCUUAAAAGCCCGGGUCAGCUUGCACCCGCAUCGAUUGAUUCCGGACCAAUCCUGCCUUUCAUUAGUGUCGGACUGCUUUUCCACAGUCUCUCCUAAAAUCAAUUGGGAUUGUUAGGGAGGGUUUCAAUUAAUUUUUUUAUAGGGCAUUUGACGUCACAUGUGUAAUUCUUUUUUUAGAGUGGUCACAGUGGUGGCAUUGUGUAACCAAAUCCGCAGUACACUUCAGGUCUGUCGAACAUGAGAACUUAUGAGGAGCAAACCCUAAGUCCAACUGUUUCUCUCUCUCCUCGCAUCAUACUUUGUGCAUGUGUAUACCCCUCUGUCCCGCCCAUUGUGUUUGCUUUGUGCAUGUGUCCCGCCCAUUUUUCCUUUCUUAUAUUACUUUUCAAUAUAUGCAAACAUUUUGGGACAUCCCAAAAUGAAAAGGUGAACCAAAAAAAAAAUUAUGAGACGGAGGGCAUACUUAUUAGUUGGAUCCGCAACUAUAUGGUGUCGCCAUUUCGCCUUUUUCUAUGUUUGGGCUGGAUUCCCAUUUCAUCCACCAUCCGAGCACAUUCAACUGGAGUGAAACAAUUGAUUUUGAUAUGUAUGGUUGUGUAUUUGUAUAUAAUGGUGAAUCAAAGAGUUGAUAGCUUCCACUGAAGUCACUACACUAGGCUUCCUUCUUCGACUUUAGUCAUUUUGUUUAUGUUACAUUUUGCUGAUUUUAGUCGAUUUAAUCUUAUCACCAAAA